rnacentral:lncRNA from 1 species
AACUCGUAACGUAUUGAUUCGGUCCGUCGGUGAAAAUGUAAAAUUUAUCGGAUUUCCCGCGGCCCCGGAGCGCAUGAGCUGUAAAUAUUGGCGAAUGCACUUCGCCGGGUCCGGGGAGGGGCGCGCGCCCGGGGAGGGGCGGGGCCGGGAGGGCGAUACGAUGACGCAUUAUGACGUCAGACGCCCCCCACCACGCGGCAUCCCUGACUCCGAUUCCGAGCCCCCCGCCCCUCCGCGAGCGCGCCUCUAGCGCAAGCUUUAUUUUCAAUGCAGAGUUGAACUUUGGACGGUUCGUGUCGCUCGCAUCGGCUCCGCUGUCUCGAAUACCCCCCGGUUCGGCUCUCAAACAAAAAACACCAAUUUUGUUCCCCCCCGAUCGUUCCGCCCCCCGCUCCCUCCCGUUCUCCGGAAUCCGGACCAGUGUUCGUGUGUUCGUCGCCAUGAUACCGUGUACUAGUGCAUAACAAACUUUCUCGCUGUGUACGGGCUUGCUCAUCAUUCGUUGGAGUGAGAUAUAAAAGCCGCCAACAUGCCGGAGAAGGUACCAGAUUUUUGGUUUUUUCAACAUUCUUUCUAUUUUUGCUCAAUAUUGUUGCGUUUAAGAUUGUUGUUAUAUUCUUUUCAAAUUGAAUUUAGGAGUGACUAGGGGUCCAUCCCUAUCCCUUGAAGAAACUUUUCGAUUGUGCUUUUUGUACUACACUGUUAGAAGUCUCGGAUGAAAUCCAGAGUGUAUUUCACACCGGCGCCUGUUUUCCCCCCUAAAAAACUCGAUUGAUUUGAGUGACGAGCGGAACACGCUCUGUAAAAGUUAACUUCGGAGGAAGAGUUUAUUUCGCUCUCACUCCUUUAAAGGGUAGAUUUUACCCCGCAUUUAUAUAACUCGAUUAUCUGGGAGCUUUCAGAGUGAGAUUCUAUCCGUGUUUCACCUAGAUACCUCUAACAGUGUAGCUUGUGAUAUGAAGAAUUGAAACGUUAAAACGAAACUUAUUUAAGACUAGCUCGUAACAUAGUUCUACCAAUAACGUGGUAAGAAGAUAAUUCUCUAAAAAAAAUGGAAUUUUUAUUUCGAUUAAUUCAGAUUCUCCUUUAAUUAAUUAAAUGAGGCACCCAUCUUUGCAGUGUAACCGUUGAUAUUUUAACAUGGCUUGGUUUCAAAAUCGCGUUUUAAGAAACGCAAUUAGUCUUAAGUUAGUCGUUCAAGUUAUUAAAUAGCUCGUUCGGUCCCGAGAAUAUAGAAUCACCCUAUUUUUGCCCCAGGGUUGUUAAGCGGUGAUCAUGUUCCGCCGAGUGUCACAGCUCUGACAAAAAUAGAACCCCUGCCUUUUCACAAUUCCACCCUUAACCCCCACUCAACCCCGCGCAUAAAGACUAAACUGGUGGCGAGGGGAAGUUGGGGGGGGAUCGGGGAUGACUUUUGACCUUUAAAGCUCGGGAAAUAACAACUGGAACAGCCGCGGCAGGCCGAUGCUGGUGGGUGUUAUUUUCUCAGACAAAAUACACUCGAUGCCUCUCUGCCGGCCGAUUAUUGAAACUGAUAGACAAAGCUAUAGACAGAGACGACAAAAGAGAUUUGGAGGGAUCCUAUUGGUGGAAUUGGGUGGUCGCAAUGGACAAAUGAGGUAGGUAAUAGACUAACUAACGGCAAGUCACGAAAGAUCCGACAGUUAGUCCAUCAUUUACUCCCUUACUCUACAAGAACCACCCAUUUCAACCAAUAGGAUCGAUGCAUACUCCCUAUGUCUUCUGUGUCUAUCGCUUUGUCUAUCAAUUUCAAUGAUCAGUCCGCUGGUGAGUACAGUGUACACAUUUCCCGAGGCGUUACCUUCGGUUGUAUUUUCCCUUGCCAUAAUGCCAUUAAAAUUCGUAUUAUUUUAUUUGUAAGUUACUUAACUUUGUACCUCGU